UACGUAGGGGGCAAGCGUUGUCCGGAUUUAUUGGGCGUAAAGAGCGCGUAGGCGGCCAGACAGGUCCGUUGUGAAAACUCGAGGCUCAACCUCGAGACGCCGAUGGAAACCGUCUGGCUAGAGUCCGGAAGAGGAGAGUGGAAUUCCUGGUGUAGCGGUGAAAUGCGCAGAUAUCAGGAAGAACACCAAUAGCGAAGGCAGCUCGCUGGGACGGUACUGACGCUAAGGCGCGAAAGCGUGGGGAGCGAACAGG
rnacentral:rRNA from 1 species